AAAUUGGUUCCACAGCUUUCAAUACUCUCCACUCUUUAGGCCCACAUUCUCUCCGUGUUGCAAAACCACACUUCUUCCCAUUACAGUAAGUCCUCCACAUAGGCUCUUCCAGCAAUCUCACUGCUCUGUUUUUUUCCUCUUCUUUCUCCUUGUCACACUCCAAUGCAAUUCUCACCAACCCAGAUGCCAUUUCUCGAACCAAUCCACUAAUUGGUGUAGCAAGUUCUAUAAGAAAAGCUGGAGGCGAAUUGGGAUCCCUUUGAAACGCAAAAUGAACAUGCCCACGGCGGUAGCCAAAAAGGGUGCCAACCACUCGGGGUCCAAGUCCCAGUGGUAG
rnacentral:misc_RNA from 1 species